rnacentral:rRNA from 1 species
CUUCAUGGCAUUCCCUAGUACUGCGAGUGAAGCGGGAAAAGCUCAAAUUUAAAAUCUGGUGGUUCUUGUAGCCAUCCGAGUUGUAAUUUAGAGAAGUGUUACCCGUGCUGGACCGUAUACAAGUCCUCUGGAAUGGGGCGUCAUAGAGGGUGAGAAUCCCGUCUUUGAUACGGACUACCAGUGCUUUUGUGGUAUGCUCUCGAAGAGUCGAGUUGUUUGGGAAUGCAGCUCAAAAUGGGUGGUAAAUUCCAUCUAAAGCUAAAUAUUGGCGAGAGACCGAUAGCGAACAAGUACCGUGAGGGAAAGAUGAAAAGAACUUUGGAAAGAGAGUUAAACAGUACGUGAAAUUGCUGAAAGGGAAACGCUUGAAGUCAGUCGCGUUAGCUGAGGAUCAGCCUUGCUUUUGCUGGGUGUACUUCUUAGUUGACUGGUCAACAUCAGUUUUGACUGCUGGAAAAGGGUCAGAGGAAUGUGGCAUCUUCGGAUGUGUUAUAGCCUUUGAUCGUAUACAGUGGUUGGGACUGAGGAACUCAGCACGCCGCAAGGCCGGGUUUUUAACCACGUACGUGCUUAGGAUGUUGGCAUAAUGGCUUUAAUCGACCCGUCUUGAACACCCCGACCACAACG